rnacentral:tRNA from 1 species
GGGCAGAUACUCAAGCGGUCAACGAGGGCAGACUGUAAAUCUGCUGGUUUCGGCCUACGAGGGUUCGAAUCCUUCUCUGCCCACCA